CGGGAGGCAGCAGUGGGAAUAUUGCACAUGGGGCGCAGCCCUGAUGCAGCGACGCGGCGUGAGGGAUGACGGCCUUCGGGUUUGUAACCCUCUGUUAGCAUCGAGAGCGNNAAAGUGACGGUAGGUGCAGAGAAAGCGCGGGCUAACUACGUGCCAGCAGCCGCGGUAAUACGUAGGGCGCGAGCGUUGUCCGGAAUUAUUGGGCGUAAAGAGCUUGUAGGCGGUUGGUCGCGUCUGCUGUGAAAGGCUGGGGCUUAACCCUGGUUUUGCAGUGGGUACGGGCUAACUAGAGUGCAGUAGGGGAGACUGGAAUUCCUGGUGUAGCGGUGGAAUGCGCAGAUAUCAGGAGGAACACCGAUGGCGAAGGCAGGUCUCUGGGCUGUAACUGACGCUGAGAAGCGAAAGCAUGGGGAGCGAACAGGAUUAGAUACCCUGGUAGUCCAUGCCGUAAACGUUGGGCACUAGGUGUGGGGGACAUUCCACGUUUUCCGCGCCGUAGCUAACGCAUUAAGUGCCCCGCCUGGGGAGUACGGCCGCAAGGCUAAAACUCAAAGAAAUUGACGGGGGCCCGCACAAGCGGCGGAGCAUGCGGAUUAAUUCGAUGCAACGCGAAGAACCUUACCAAGGCUUGACAUAUACUGGACUGCGUCAGAGAUGGCGUUUCCCUUCGGGGCUGGUAUACAGGUGGUGCAUGGUUGUCGUCAGCUCGUGUCGUGAGAUGUUGGGUUAAGUCCCGCAACGAGCGCAACCCUCGUUCUAUGUUGCCAGCACGUGAUGGUGGGGACUCAUAGGAGACUGCCGGGGUCAACUCGGAGGAAGGUGGGGAUGACGUCAAAUCAUCAUGCCCCUUAUGUCUUGGGCUUCACGCAUGCUACAAUGGCCGGUACAGAGGGUUGCGAUACUGUGAGGUGGAGCUAAUCCCUAAAAGCCGGUCUCAGUUCGGAUUGGGGUCUGCAACUCGACCCCAUGAAGUCGGAGUCGCUAGUAAUCGCAGAUCAGCAACGCUGCGGUGAAUACGUUCUCGGGCUUUGCACACACCGCCCGUCAAG
rnacentral:rRNA from 1 species